rnacentral:rRNA from 1 species
AUUGAACGCUGGCGGCAUGCUUUACACAUGCAAGUCGAACGGUAACAGGCCGCAAGGUGCUGACGAGUGGCGAACGGGUGAGUAAUGCAUCGGAACGUGCCCAGUCGUGGGGGAUAACGCAGCGAAAGCUGCGCUAAUACCGCAUACGAUCUGUGGAUGAAAGCGGGGGACCUUCGGGCCUCGCGCGAUUGGAGCGGCCGAUGUCAGAUUAGGUAGUUGGGGGGGUAAAGGCUCACCAAGCCGACGAUCUGUAGCUGGUCUGAGAGGACGACCAGCCACACUGGGACUGAGACACGGCCCAGACUCCUACGGGAGGCAGCAGUGGGGAAUUUUGGACAAUGGGGACAACCCUGAUCCAGCAAUGCCGCGUGCAGGAAGAAGGCCUUCGGGUUGUAAACUGCUUUUGUACGGAACGAAAAGGCUCUGGUUAAUACCUGGGGCACAUGACGGUACCGUAAGAAUAAGCACCGGCUAACUACGUGCCAGCCGCCGCAGUAAGAC